AGUACCACCAAAGCUGGAGGGUUCUCUUAAUUAUUUCCAUUUAUGUCCACAUUAAAUUUUGGAUAAAUUACUAAUUUAGCCUAUAAUUUUGAAUCUGAUGCUAUCAGCUUUUAUCAAAAUCUCCUGGAAUCUCUGUUACAUGACAAGUAGUGGAAGCAGAAGUAACAUGAAUUUCAAGAACAACAACAACAACAUGGGGAAUGAGCCACCAGGAGACGGUAGUGGAGGAGCGGCGUUGACCAGACAAGGUUCGAUAUACUCGUUGACAUUCGACGAGUUUCAGAGCAGUUUAGGUAAAGAUUUUGGGUCAAUGAACAUGGACGAGCUGUUAAAGAACAUAUGGACUGCUGAAGAGACACAAGCCAUGGCUGUUGCUGCUUCAACUAGCGGUGUUAUUCCACUUGCUGGAGGAGGCCAAGAGGGGCUGCCGUUGCAGAGGCAAGGCUCGUUGACACUCCCCCGAACCCUUAGCACGAAAACGGUUGAUCAGGUGUGGAAAGAUCUCUCUAAAGAUGGAGGAGGUGGAACAAACUUGACUCAGAGUCAGAGGCAGCAGACAUUAGGUGAGGUAACUCUAGAGGAGUUCCUGGUACGUGCUGGCGUUGUGAGAGAGGAAGCUCAGAUUGCUGCCAAAGAUGCUAACACGGGUUUCUCUGUCCAGGCUUCUCCUCAAGUUGUUCCCGGUUUGAUGGGGAACCUUGGUGCCGAGACUGUGAAUCAUAUGCAGGUUCAAGGUUCUAGUUUGCCUCUGAAUGUAAAUGGAGCUAGAUCUACAUACCAGCAACACCAGCCAAUCAUGCCCAAGCAGCCUGGUUUUGGGUAUGGAACACACGUUGGUCCUGGGAUAAGAGGUGGUCUUAUGGGACUUGGAGAUCAGUCUCUAAAUAUGGGAUUAGUCCAAGGCGUUGUUGGUGCUGCUGUGUCUCCUGUGACGCCAGUGUCAGCAGAUGGGAUAGGGAAGAAUAAUGGUGAUUCUUCAUCGCUGUCUCCGUCUCCGUACAUGUUUAAUGGUGGGGUGAGGGGUAGAAAGAGUGGUACUGUAGAGAAAGUUGUUGAGAGGAGGCAAAGGAGAAUGAUAAAGAACCGAGAAUCAGCCGCAAGGUCACGUGCCAGGAAACAGAUGUUCUCGGCAGACCAGACAAUGUAGUGGAAUGUAAUUUGCUAUGCUAACGUCUCAAGGCUUAUACCGUGGAACUUGAAGCUGAAGUUGCAAAGUUAAAGGAAGAGAAUGAAGAGUUACAAAGAAAGCAGGCAAAGAUUAUGGAGAUGCAAAAGAAUCAGGAGAUGGAGAUGAUGAAUAUUCAAGGAGGUGCAAAGAAAAGGCUGAGGAGGACAGAGUCAGGACCUUGGUGAAUCAUACUUAGUUUCUGUAGAUAAAUAUUCCCCACAUGUGUUUAGUUUGAAGACCAAAGAGAGAGAGAGUUUCAUGGUUUAUUUUGUAAGCUCUUUUCAUAUGUGUUCUCUUAUACAUACACAAAGUUAUCAUAAUCCCUUUACUUUAAUUA